ACUGCUCAGUAACACGUGGAUAACCUGCCCAAGGGUCUGGGAUAACCCCGGGAAACUGGGGAUAAUACCGGAUGGAUCACUAGUGCUGGAAUGCUUGGUGGUCGAAAGGCAACGCCUUUGGAUGGGUCUGCGGCGGAUUAGGUUGACGCCGGUGUAACGUACCGGCGUGCCUGUAAUCCGUACGGGUUGUGGGAGCAAGAGCCCGGAGAUGGAUUCUGAGACACGAAUCCAGGCCCUACGGGGCGCAGCAGGCGCGAAAACUCUACAAUGCAGGCAACUGCGAUAGGGGGACAUCGAGUGGCAUCCACCUUGGGCGCCUGUCCAACCGUCUAAAAAACGGUUGUUAGCAAGGGCCGGGUAAGACCGGUGCCAGCCGCCGCGGUAAUACCGGCGGCUCGAGUGGUGGCCGAUAUUAUUGAGUCUAAAGGGUCCGUAGCCGGCUUUGCAAGUCCCCUGGGAAAUCCAGCGGCUUAACCGUUGGGCUUUCAUGGGAUACUACAUUGCUUGGGACUGGGAGAGGUAGGAGGUACUCGGGGGGUAGGGGUGAAAUCCUGUAAUCCUCCGGGGACCACCGGUGGCGAAGGCGUCCUACCAGAACAGGUCCGACGGUGAGGGACGAAAGCUAGGGGCACGAACCGGAUUAGAUACCCGGGUAGUCCUAGCCGUAAACGAUGCCCGCUAGGUGUCACGACGGUCGUGAAUCGUCGUGGUGCCGUAGGGAAGCCGCGAAGCGGGCCACUUGGGAAGUACGGCCGCAAGGCUGAAACUUAAAGGAAUUGGCGGGGGAGCAC
rnacentral:rRNA from 1 species